GACGAACGCUGGCGGCGUGCUUAACACAUGCAAGUCGAACGGAAAGGCCCUGCUUUUGUGGGGUGCUCGAGUGGCGAACGGGUGAGUAACACGUGAGUAACCUGCCCUUGACUUGGGGAUAACUUCAGGAAACGGGGGCUAAUACCGGAUAGGAGCUCCGGCUGCAGGGGGGGGGUGGGAAAGUUUCGGCGGUUGGGGAUGGACUCGCGGCUUAUCAGCUUGUUGGUGGGGUAGUGGCUUACCAAGGCUUUGACGGGUAGCCGGCCUGAGAGGGUGACCGGCCACAUUGGGACUGAGAUACGGCCCAGACUCCUACGGGAGGCAGCAGUGGGGAAUAUUGCACAAUGGGCGGAAGCCUGAUGCAGCAACGCCGCGUGCGGGAUGACGGCCUUCGGGUUGUAAACCGCUUUCGCCUGUGACGAAGCGUGAGUGACGGUAAUGGGUAAAGAAGCACCGGCUAACUACGUG
rnacentral:rRNA from 1 species